GCUUGAAGUAUAUUUAUUGUGUGUGUAUAUUUAGAAUAUAAAUUUUAAAAAACUGGUCUGUGUUUCUAAUACAAAAGGAGGUGUUUUGGUUACGGUCACAUAUCAUCAUCUGGUGGUGUUCCUAACCUAUAUGUUUCCUUUCUUGUAAUACUUAGAAUGGUUCGAAUUUAGUUUCACUUAUGAGGAAUCUCCAGAGGCGGAUUUAGACCCCCCCUUUUUUCUGGGAGAAAUUUUAUUGAU
rnacentral:lncRNA from 1 species